UACAGAGGUCCCAAGCGUUGUUCGGAUUCAUUGGGCGUAAAGGGUGCGUAGGCGGCGCGGUAAGUCGGGUGUGAAAUCUCGGGGCUUAACUCCGAAACUGCAUUCGAUACUGCCGUGCUUGAGGACUGGAGAGGAGACUGGAAUUUACGGUGUAGCGGUGAAAUGCGUAGAUAUCGUAAGGAAGACCAGUGGCGAAAGGCGGGUCUCUGGACAGUUCCUGACGCUGAGGAGCGAAAGCAUGGGGAGCGAACAGG
rnacentral:rRNA from 1 species